CAGCCGCCGCGGUAAUACAGAGGAUGCAAGCGUUAUCCGGAAUGAUUGGGCGUAAAGCGUGCGCAGGCGGUUAUAUAAGUCAGAUGUGAAAUCCCCGGGCUCAACCUGGGAACUGCAUUUGAGACUGUAUGGCUAGAGUGUGUCAGAGGGGGGUAGAAUUCCACGUGUAGCAGUGAAAUGCGUAGAUAUGUGGAGGAAUACCGAUGGCGAAGGCAGCCCCCUGGGAUAACACUGACGCUCAUGCACGAAAGCGUGGGGAGCAAACAGGAUUAGAUACCCGGGUAGUCCUGUCUCUUAUACA
rnacentral:rRNA from 1 species